CGGCUCCCGCCCGCAACUCGGCGCAACUUUCCCGCGGGCAGGCGGGCACCCUCGCCGCCGGCCCGCUCCCCGCGCGCCCCGGGCCCGCACGGACCUUGCGGUUGCUGGAGGUGCCUCCGGGACGCGGCCGCAGCCCCGCGCCCGGCGGCCCGAGCAGGGCCGGGCUGGGGCUCCGGCUCCGGGCUCGGGCUCCCGCUUGGUGCGGAGCCGCGCGCAAACCUUCCGGGUCGCCUGCUGUUCACUUCUGGGUUCUGCAAGCGCCGAGGCGGCGGCGGCGGUGGCGGCGGCGGCGGGAGGCUGGGUCUGCGGCGUCGCGCGGCCCCCCGUGCGCUCCGCGAGCCACUGCGCCAGGCGCCCGGCUCCGGGUUGGGGGGCCGCGUUGGGCCCCCGCCUCUCCGGCUGCACAGCCCGUCCGGCCCCGGGGCUUCGCUCUGGAGGCCAAAAGUUCAACAUCAGGAUGUCAGUCAGCAGGGCUGUGCUCCUCUUAAGGUUCAAGAGGAGAAUCCUUCCUUGCCCCUUCCAUCUUCUGCUGUCUGACUCCUUCUUCCUGGCUGCACUGAUUGGCUAAGAGGAGGCACCUGAGCCCAGCUUGGCCAAUCACAUCACUUCACUCUCCUCAGCUACAAGACUGGUCCAGCCCAGGGUACAUGAAACUGGCUUCCUCAGGGAUUUUAUUUUUUUAACUAAAAGCAAGAAUCAUAAACAUGUUUUAAACUUAAAAGAUAAGGUGGUAAAUAUUUUUUGCUUUGGG
rnacentral:lncRNA from 1 species